GAUUCUGGCUCAGGAUGAACGCUGGCGGCGUGCCUAACACAUGCAAGUCGAACGAAGCACUUGUACGAUCCCUUCGGGGUGACGACUUGUGACUGAGUGGCGGACGGGUGAGUAACGCGUGGGAAACCUGCCCUAUACCGGGGGAUAACAGUUGGAAACGACUGCUAAUACCGCAUAAGCGCACGAGAUGGCAUCAUCUAGUGUGAAAAAACUCCGGUGGUAUAGGAUGGUCCCGCGUCUGAUUAGCUAGUUGGUGAGGUAACGGCCCACCAAGGCGACGAUCGGUAGCCGACCUGAGAGGGUGACCGGCCACAUUGGGACUGAGACACGGCCCAAACUCCUACGGGAGGCAGCAGUGGGGAAUAUUGCACAAUGGGCGAAAGCCUGAUGCAGCCGACGCCGCGUGAGCGAUGAAGUAUUUCGGUAUGUAAAGCUCUAUCAGCAGGGAAGAACAAAUGACGGUACCUGACUAAGAAGCUCCGGCUAAAUACGUGCCAGCCGCGGC
rnacentral:rRNA from 1 species